UACGUAGGGUGCGAGCGUUACUCGGAAUUACUGGGCGUAAAGCGUGCGUAGGCGGCUCUGAAAGUCAGCUGUGAAAGCCCCGGGCUUAACCUGGGAACUGCGGUUGAAACUACAGGACUUGAAUCUGGCAGAGGGGGGUGGAAUUCCACGUGUAGCAGUGAAAUGCGUAGAGAUGUGGAGGAACACCGAUGGCGAAGGCAGCCCCCUGGGCUGAGAUUGACGAUCAGGCACGAAAGCGUGGGGAGCAAACAGG
rnacentral:rRNA from 1 species